CAUGUUAAUAAAAUAUGAUCUCAUGAAAUGCAUCAUCCACAAGUAAUCACAUAUCUCGGAAUGGACGGAUCAAAAUUCCCUCAAAUUGAGCCUGGUCCCCGUAGGGCUGUUCCAGAACUCCACAUCAUCUAGGUACCAUAGUACAAGGUAUCUGGUCCUCGUAAGGCUGUUCCAGAACCUUCCUGGAGGGCUAGUGAAUCCCUGCUAUGUCCAUUCAACACAUACGCAAUGUACAAGGAGCCAUGCCAAUUACAAGGAUAAUGCAAUGCCACAUAAUAG
rnacentral:lncRNA from 1 species